GAUGAACGCUGACGGCGUGCCUAAUACAUGCAAGUCGAGCGAACGGACGAGAAGCUUGCUUCUCUGAUGUUAGCGGCGGACGGGUGAGUAACACGUGGAUAACCUACCUAUAAGACUGGGAUAACUUCGGGAAACCGGAGCUAAUACCGGAUAAUAUUUUGAACCGCAUGGUUCAAAAGUGAAAGACGGUCUUGCUGUCACUUAUAGAUGGAUCCGCGCUGCAUUAGCUAGUUGGUAAGGUAACGGCUUACCAAGGCAACGAUGCAUAGCCGACCUGAGAGGGUGAUCGGCCACACUGGAACUGAGACACGGUCCAGACUCCUACGGGAGGCAGCAGUAGGGAAUCUUCCGCAAUGGGCGAAAGCCUGACGGAGCAACGCCGCGUGAGUGAUGAAGGUCUUCGGAUCGUAAAACUCUGUUAUUAGGGAAGAGCAUAUGUGUAAGUAACCGUGCACAUCUUGACGGUACCUAAUCAGAAAGCCACGGCUAACUACGUG
rnacentral:rRNA from 1 species